CUCAAUGGCGGGCCGGGCGGGGGCACCGUAAGGUGCGCCGGGGUCCAACAAGGCCGGUUAUGCCAACCCUGUUCGGUUCCGCCACCCGU
rfam:Mangrovibacter sp. MFB070 Contig-035, whole genome shotgun sequence.